GAUGCCAGCUUGCUGGUGGAUUAGUGGCGAACGGGUGAGUAACACGUGAGUAACCUGCCCUUAACUCUGGGAUAAGCCUGGGAAACUGGGUCUAAUACCGGAUAUGACCUUCCAUCGCAUGGUGGUUGGUGGAAAGCUUUUUGUGGUUUUGGAUGGACUCGCGGCCUAUCAGCUUGUUGGUGAGGUAAUGGCUUACCAAGGCGACGACGGGUAGCCGGCCUGAGAGGGUGACCGGCCACACUGGGACUGAGACACGGCCCAGACUCCUACGGGAGGCAGCAGUGGGGAAUAUUGCACAAUGGGCGCAAGCCUGAUGCAGCGACGCCGCGUGAGGGAUGACGGCCUUCGGGUUGUAAACCUCUUUCAGUAGGGAAGAAGCGAAAGUGACGGUACCUGCAGAAGAAGCGCCGGCUAACUACGUGCCAGCAGCCGCGGUAAUACGUAGGGCGCAAGCGUUAUCCGGAAUUAUUGGGCGUAAAGAGCUCGUAGGCGGUUUGUCGCGUCUGCCGUGAAAGUCCGGGGCUCAACUCCGGAUCUGCGGUGGGUACGGGCAGACUAGAGUGAUGUAGGGGAGACUGGAAUUCCUGGUGUAGCGGUGAAAUGCGCAGAUAUCAGGAGGAACACCGAUGGCGAAGGCAGGUCUCUGGGCAUUAACUGACGCUGAGGAGC
rnacentral:rRNA from 1 species